CUAAGUUUGAUGGCGACCGGCGCACGGGUGAGUAACACGUAUCCAACCUGCCGAUGACUCGGGGAUAGCCUUUCGAAAGAAAGAUUAAUACCCGAUGGCAUAGUUCUUCCGCAUGGUAGAACUAUUAAAGAAUUUCGGUCAUCGAUGGGGAUGCGUUCCAUUAGGUUGUUGGCGGGGUAACGGCCCACCAAGCCUUCGAUGGAUAGGGGUUCUGAGAGGAAGGUCCCCCACAUUGGAACUGAGACACGGCCCAAACUCCUACGGGAGGCAGCAUG
rnacentral:rRNA from 1 species